rnacentral:rRNA from 1 species
GACGAACGCUGGCGGCGUGCUUAACACAUGCAAGUCGAACGGAAAGGCCCUGCUUUUAUGGGGUGCUCGAGUGGCGAACGGGUGAGUAACACGUGAGUAACCUGCCCUUGACUUUGGGAUAACUUCAGGAAACUGGGGCUAAUACCGGAUAGGAGCUCCUGCUGCAUGGUGGGGGUUGGAAAGUUUCGGCGGUUGGGGAUGGACUCGCGGCUUAUCAGCUUGUUGGUGGGGUAGUGGCUUACCAAGGCUUUGACGGGUAGCCGGCCUGAGAGGGUGACCGGCCACAUUGGGACUGAGGUACGGCCCAGACUCCUACGGGAGGCAGCAGUGGGGAAUAUUGCACAAUGGGCGGAAGCCUGAUGCAGCAACGCCGCGUGCGGGAUGACGGCCUUCGGGUUGUAAACCGCUUUCGCCUGUGACGAAGCGUGAGUGACGGUAAUGGGUAAAGAAGCACCGGCUAACUACGUG